rnacentral:tRNA from 1 species
GCCUGACUGACUCAGUUGGUAGAGCAUCUGACUCUUAAUCUCUGGGUCGUGAGUUUGAGCCCCACGUUGGGCG